rnacentral:rRNA from 1 species
UACAGGGGGGGCAAGCGUUGUUCGGAAUUACUGGGCGUAAAGGGCGCGUAGGCGGCAUGACAAGUCACUUGUGAAAUCUCCGAGCUUAACUCGGAACGGUCAAGUGAUACUGUCGCGCUAGAGUGCGGAAGGGGCAAUCAGAAUUCUUGGUGUAGCGGUGAAAUGCGUAAAUAUCAAGAGGAAUACCUGAGGUGAAGACGGGUUGCUAGGCCGACACUGACGCUGAAGCGCGAAAGCCAGGGGAGCAAACGGG